rnacentral:rRNA from 1 species
GUGGGGAAUCUUCCGCAAUGGACGAAAGUCUGACGGAGCAACGCCGCGUGAGUGAAGAAGGUUUUCGGAUCGUAAAGCUCUUUCGUCAGGGACGAACGUAUUUCUUGUAAAUAAUGAGAGAUAGUGACGGUACCUGAAUAAGAAGCCACGGCUAACUACGCGCCAGCAGCCGCGGUAAUACGUAGGUGGCAAGCGUUGUCCGGAAUUAUUGGGCGUAAAGCGCGCGCAGGCGGGAUAUCAAGUCUGUCUUAAAAGUGCGAGGCUCAACCUCGUGAGGGGACAGAAACUGGUAUACUUGAGUGUCGGAGAGGAAAGUGGAAUUCCAAGUGUAGCGGUGAAAUGCGUAGAGAUUUGGAAGAACACCAGUGGCGAAGGCGACUUUCUGGACGAUGUCUGACGCUGAGGCGCGAAAGCUAGGGGAGCGAACGGGAUUAGAAACCCCUGUAGUCC